rnacentral:rRNA from 1 species
UACGUAGGUCCCGAGCGUUGUCCGGAUUUAUUGGGCGUAAAGCGAGCGCAGGUGGUUUAUUAAGUCUGGUGUAAAAGGCAGUGGCUCAACCAUUGUAUGCAUUGGAAACUGGUAGACUUGAGUGCAGGAGAGGAGAGUGGAAUUCCAUGUGUAGCGGUGAAAUGCGUAGAUAUAUGGAGGAACACCGGUGGCGAAAGCGGCUCUCUGGCCUGUAACUGACACUGAGGCUCGCAAGCGUGGGGAGCAAACAGG